rnacentral:rRNA from 1 species
CCUACGGGAGGCAGCAGUGAGGAAUAUUGGUCAAUGGGCGCGAGCCUGAACCAGCCAAGUCGCGUGAGGGAUGACGGUCCUAUGGAUUGUAAACCUCUUUUAUAAAGGAACAAAGGCCGGCACGUGUGCCGUUAUGAGUGUACCUGAAGAAAAAGCAUCGGCUAACUCCGUGCCAGCAGCCGCGGUAAUACGGAGGAUGCGAGCGUUAACCGGAUUUAUUGGGUUUAAAGGGUGCGCAGGGGGGUAGUUAAGUCAGCGGGGAAAUUUUGGGGGUCAAACGUCGAAGGGCCUUUGAAACGGGCAGUCUUGAGUACGGGAGAAGUAUGCGGAAUGCGUGGUGUAGCGGUGAAAUGCAUAGAUAUCACGAAGAACUCCGAUUGCGAAGGCAGCAUGCUAGAGCACCACUGACGCUGAUGCACGAAAGUGUGGGUAUCGAACAGGAUUAGAUACCCUUGUAGUC